AGCAGCCGCGGUAAUUCCAGCUCCAAUAGCGUAUAUUAAAGUUGUUGCAGUUAAAAAGCUCGUAGUUGAAUUUCGAGAUCAAAUUGUUGGUCGUGCCUCGGUACGUACUGGCAUUAUUGAUUUCUCCCUUCUGAAGAACCACGAUGUCAUUAAUUUGGUGUCGUGGGGAAUCAGGACUGUUACUUUGAAAAAAUUAGAGUGUUUAAAGCAGGCUCACGCUUGAAUACAUUAGCAUGGAAUAAUGAAAUAGGACGUUUGAUUCUAUUUUGUUGGUUUCUGGGAUCGACGUAAUGAUUAAUAGGGAUAGUUGGGGGCAUUAGUAUUCAAUUGUCAGAGGUGAAAUUCUUGGAUUUAUUGAAGACUAACUACUGCGAAAGCAUUUGCCAAGGAUGUUUUCAUUAAUCAAGAACGAAAGUUAGGGGAUCGAAGACGAUCAGAUACCGUCGUAGUCUUAACCGUAAACUAUGCCGACUAGGGAUCGGAUGAUGUUAAUUUUUA
rnacentral:rRNA from 1 species